rnacentral:rRNA from 1 species
UACAGAGGGUGCGAGCGUUAAUCGGAAUUACUGGGCGUAAAGCGUGCGUAGACGGUAGCGUAAGUCAGAUGUGAAAGCCCCGGGCUCAACCUGGGAAUUGCAUUUGAGACUGCUCUGCUCGGGUGCGGAAGAGGGAAGCGGAAUUUCCGGUGUAGCGGUGAAAUGCGUAGAUAUCGGAAGGAACACCAGUGGCGAAAGCGACUCGCUGGACAAGUAUUGACGCUGAGGUGCGAAAGCGUGGGGAGCAAACAGG